UACGAAGGGUGCAAGCGUUACUCGGAAUCAUUGGGCGUAAAGGGCGUGUAGGCGGUUUGUUAAGUCAUGUGUGAAAUCCCUCGGCUCAACCGGGGAACGACGCAUGAAACUGGCAAGCUAGAGUACCAAAGAGGGGGGUGGAAUUCCCGGUGUAGCGGUGAAAUGCGCAGAUAUCAGGAGGAACACCGGUGGCGAAGGCGGGUCUCUGGGCAACAACUGACGCUGAGGAGCGAAAGCGUGGGGAGCGAACAGG
rnacentral:rRNA from 1 species